rnacentral:rRNA from 1 species
UACGGGGGGUGCGAGCGUUGUCCGGAAUCACUGGGCGUAAAGAGCUCGUAGGCGGUUUGUCGCGUCGAAUGUGAAAACCCGGGGCUCAACCCCGGGCCUGCAUUCGAUACUGCCGUGCUCGAGGACUGGAGAGGAGACUGGAAUUCAUGGUGUAGUAGUGAAAUGCGUAGAGAUCAUGAGGAAGACCAGUGGCGAAGGCGGGUCUCUGGACAGUUCCUGACACUGAGGCACGAAGGCCAGGGGAGCAAACGGG